rnacentral:piRNA from 1 species
UGGAUUCUUACUGCAAUGACCGAAGUGCA